UACAGAGGGGGCAAGCGUUUAUUCGGAAUUAUUGGGCGUAAAGAGCUCGUAGGCGGCUUGUCGCGUCGACUGUGAAAACUCGGGGCUCAACUCCGAGCUUGCAGUUCGAUACGGGCAGGCUAGAGUUCGGUAGGGGAGACUGGAAUUCCUGGUGUAGCGGUGAAAUGCGCAGAUAUCAGGAGGAACACCGGUGGCGAAGGCGGGUCUCUGGGCCGAUACUGACGCUGAGGAGCGAAAGCGUGGGGAGCGAACAGG
rnacentral:rRNA from 1 species